GGCGGGAGAGCCUGGCCAUUGCACAUAGAGCAGUCCCGGGCACACUGUGCCACCUCAUAUUGGCGUGGGGGACGCCAGGACACACAGAUAGGCAGGAACAGACCCCGUGCAUCACCCCGAGUCCCGCACCUGCGUGGGAUCCGCCCGGCUGCACCCGAGUGCGGAAAGACGGGUAUAGGAAAACAUGUUCAUGUGCACGUGUGAGCAGCAUUAAGAAGGUAUCCAGGUCCACCUUCUUGGUCUGAAGUCCUCCCCUCACCGCCACGUCUACAGCAGCCUGACUAAAGUAAGCUCUGACGAUGCCGCUC